rnacentral:tRNA from 1 species
ACACUGAUGUCCGAGUGGUCUAAGCGAUCGAAUUUUCACUUCAGUGGUCAGUGGUACGAGCCCAGUUCAGGGUU